rnacentral:rRNA from 1 species
AGAUUGAACGCUGGCGGCAUGCCUAACACAUGCAAGUCGAACGGGAGUAGCAAUACUCUAGUGGCGGACGGGUGAGGAAUACGUAGGAAUUUGCCCUUAAGUGGGGGAUAACCCGGGGAAACCCGGAUUAAUACCGCAUGACCUCGAAAGAGCAAAGUGGGGGAUCGCAAGACCUCACGCUUUUGGAGAAGCCUACGUCGGAUUAGCUAGUUGGUGAGGUAAUGGCUCACCAAGGCGACGAUCCGUAACUGGUCUGAGAGGAUGAUCAGUCACACCGGAACUGAGACACGGUCCGGACUCCUACGGGAGGCAGCAGUGGGGAAUAUUGGACAAUGGGCGCAAGCCUGAUCCAGCAAUGACCGCGUGUGUGAAGAAGGCCUUCGGGUUAGUAAAGCUACGUUUAAGUUAGGAAAGAAAAACUCAACGUACUAACACAGUGAGUCUUAGACGUACCGACAAGAAUAAGCAACCGGCUAAC